GCAGAAGUGGCGGAAUUGGCAGACGCGCACGGUUCAGGUCCGUGUGGUAGCAAUACCGUGAGGGUUCAAGUCCCUUCUUCUGCA
rfam:Clostridium hathewayi CAG:224 genomic scaffold, scf342